rnacentral:rRNA from 1 species
UACGUAGGUGGCAAGCGUUGUCCGGAUUUACUGGGCGUAAAGAGCGCGCAGGCGGUCGCUCAAGUCGCGUGUGAAAGCCCCCGGCUCAACUGGGGAGGGUCACGCGAUACUGUUCGACUCGAAGGCAGGAGAGGGAAGCAGAAUUCCCGGUGUAGUGGUGAAAUGCGUAGAUAUCGGGAGGAAUACCAGUGGCGAAGGCGGCUUCCUGGCCUGUUCUUGACGCUGAGGCGCGAAAGCUAGGGUAGCAAACGGG